CGUUAGUGAACUAAUUGCCGAAAGGCAACCUAAGGAAUAUGAAAAAGAUACAUAACAGGAGGAUAAAACUAUGCGGGAUUCGUUAAUUAAUACCUGUGGAAUGAAGAUGCGUAAGCUUCUUGAUAAAAAGUCAGAGGUGUUUGCACAGAAAUACGGAGUGAGAAAUGUAGAACUGGAGAUUCUUUUAUUUUUAUAUCAUUCACCAUGUGGUGAUACAGCAAAAGAUAUUGUGGAGGAGAAGAAUUUAUCCAAAGCACACAUUUCAAAGUCUGUAGAUAAUUUACGGGCGAAAGGUUUUGUCGUUUUGACAGAGGAUGAGAAUGACCGCAGAAAGAGACACAUUGAGUUGACUGAGAAGGCUGUGGAAGCAGCGAAAAAUAUGCUGGAGGUUCAUAAUGAAUGUAAAGAGGUUGUCAUGCGUUAUGUGACGGAUGAGGAGAAAGAACUUAUGAACCAGAUAAUGCAGAAGAUGCUUCGCAGUCUGGAUGAGGAACUUCAAAAGUAACAGAAUUACUUUACGGAAAUAUUUACAGAUAGCAUUUACAGGAAGUAUUUUUAAUGGCAUCGACUGAUAAUGCCACUGGAAAAUGACCGGGAGAAAUUUUAGAUAAUUUUUGGAGUAUUGAUGAAGAUGAUGACCAAAGAGUUAGUCAGAUUAGAAGAAAGGAAUGCAGUAUAUGAAGUCAGUGGCAAUAGACCCGAAACCGGGUGACCUAUCCAUGGGCAGGUUGAAGUGGAGGUAAAACUCCAUGGAGGACCGAACGCACGUUCGUUGCAAUGACCGGCGAUGACCUGUGGAUAGCGGUGAAAUUCCAAUCGAACCCGGAGAUAGCUGGUUCUCCCCGAAAUAGCUUUAGGGCUAGCGUUAUGUUAGAUUACCGGAGGUAAAGCACUGAAUGGUGGCGGGGCCGAUAAGGUUACCAAGACCUAUCAAACUCUGAAUGCCGGAUAAUUGAUGCAUAGCAGUCAGACAGCGUGAGAUAAGUUUCGUUGUCAAAAGGGAAACAGCCCAGACCCACAGCUAAGGUCCCAAAUUCAUGCUAAGUGGAAAACGAUGUGGAAUUGCGAAAACAACCAGGAUGUUGGCUUAGAAGCAGCCACUCAUUAAAAGAGUGCGUAAUAGCUCACUGGUCGAGUGACUCUGCGCCGAAAAUUUAACGGGGCUAAACUAUACACCGAAGCUUGGGAUACAUCUAAUGUAUGGUAGGAGAGCGUUCUGUAUGGGGAGAAGUCGUAGCGAAAGCGGCGGUGGACUAUACAGAAGUGAGAAUGCCGGAAUAAGUAGCGAGAAUUAAGUGAGAAUCUUAAUGGCCGAAAGUCUAAGGUUUUUGGAGGAAGGUUCGUCCGCUCCAAGUAAGUCGGGAGCUAAGGUCAGGCCGAAAGGCGUAGCCGAUGCACAUACGGUUGAUAUUCCGUAACCAUCUGUAAUUUAAGCAAAGGGACACUUCAAAAGGGUGUGACCCGGGCGUUGGUUGACCCGGGCGUAAGGGACCGAAAUUAGAGUAGGGAAGCACACUUGGCUGAAGGCGAGAAAAGCUUUGCGUAUAGAAACAGAUGCCCGUACCGCAAACCGACACAGGUGGACAGGAAGAGAAUUCUAAGGCCAGCGGGAGAAGGGUAGUUAAGGAACUCGGCAAAUUGACUCCGUAACUUCGGAAUAAGGAGUGCUCGAAAGAGCCGCAGAGAAUAGGCCCAGGCGACUGUUUAGCAAAAACACAGGUCUCUGCCAAAUCGAAAGAUGAAGUAUAGGGGCUGACACCUGCCCGGUGCCGGAAGGUUAAGAGGAGGAGUGAGAGCUCCGAAUUGAAGCCCCGGUAAACGGCGGCCGUAACUAUAACGGUCCUAAGGUAGCGAAAUUCCUUGUCGGGUAAGUUCCGACCCGCACGAAUGGUGUAACGAUCUGGGCACUGUCUCAACUACCCACCCGGCGAAAUUGUAGUACCGGUGAAGAUGCCGGUUACCUGCGGCAAGACGGAAAGACCCCAUGGAGCUUUACUGUAGCCUGAUAUUGGGUUUCGGAAAUCUAUGUACAGGAUAGGCGGGAGACUUGGAAACAUGAGCGUCAGCUUGUGUGGAGUCGAUGUUGGGAUACCGCCCUUAGGUUUCUGGAAUUCUAACCUGCGGCCGUGAAUCCGGUCGGGGGACAUUGUCAGGUGGGCAGUUUGACUGGGGCGGUCGCCUCCGAAAAGGUAACGGAGGCGCUCAAAGGUUAGCUCAGCACGGACGGAAACCGUGCCUCUGAGUGUAAACGCAAAAGCUAGCCUAACUGCGAGGGUGACGGCCCGAGCAGUAACGAAAGUUGGAGUUAGUGAUCCGGCGGUAUGUGAAUGGAAAUGCCGUCGCUCAACGGAUAAAAGCUACCCUGGGGAUAACAGGCUGAUCUCCCCCAAGAGUCCACAUCGACGGGGAGGUUUGGCACCUCGAUGUCGGCUCAUCACAUCCUGGGGCUGUAUUCGGUCCCAAGGGUUCGGCUGUUCGCCGAUUAAAGUGGUACGCGAGCUGGGUUCAGAACGUCGCGAGACAGUUCGGUCCCUAUCUGUCGUGGGCGCAGGAUAUUUGAGGAGCUCUGUCCUUAGUACGAGAGGACCGGGAUGGACGUACCUCUGGUGCACCAGUUGUCAUGCCAAUGGCACGGCUGGGCAGCUAUGUACGGAACGGAUAAACGCUGAAAGCAUCUAAGCGUGAAGCCGACUCCAAGAUUAGAUAUCCCAUCGUAUAACGAGUAAGACCCCUUGAAGACUACGAGGUUGAUAGGCUGCGUGUGUAAGUGCCGUGAGGCAUUCAGCUUGGCAGUACUAAUAGGUCGAGGGCUUGACCAU
rnacentral:rRNA from 1 species